CCUACGGGUGGCUGCAGUGGGGAAUAUUGGACAAUGGGCGAAAGCCUGAUCCAGCCAUGCCGCGUGUGUGAAGAAGGCCUUCGGGUUGUAAAGCACUUUCAGUGGGGAAGAAAGCCUUGGGGCUAAUACCCUCGAGGAAGGACAUCACCCACAGAAGAAGCACCGGCUAACUCCGUGCCAGCAGCCGCGGUAAUACGGAGGGUGCGAGCGUUAAUCGGAAUUACUGGGCGUAAAGCGCGCGUAGGCGGUCUGAUAAGCCGGUUGUGAAAGCCCCGGGCUCAACCUGGGAACGGCAUCCGGAACUGUCAGGCUAGAGUGCAGGAGAGGAAGGUAGAAUUCCCGGUGUAGCGGUGAAAUGCGUAGAGAUCGGGAGGAAUACCAGUGGCGAAGGCGGCCUUCUGGACUGACACUGACGCUGAGGUGCGAAAGCGUGGGUAGCAAACAGGACUAGAUACCCGAGUAGUC
rnacentral:rRNA from 1 species